rnacentral:rRNA from 1 species
GACGAACGCUGGCGGCGCGCCUAACACAUGCAAGUCGAACGAGCGAGAGAGAGCUUGCUUUCUCGAGCGAGUGGCGAACGGGUGAGUAACGCGUGAGGAACCUGCCUCAAAGAGGGGGACAACAGUUGGAAACGACUGCUAAUACCGCAUAAGCCCACGACCCGGCAUCGGGUAGAGGGAAAAGGAGCAAUCCGCUUUGAGAUGGCCUCGCGUCCGAUUAGCUAGUUGGUGAGGUAACGGCCCACCAAGGCGACGAUCGGUAGCCGGACUGAGAGGUUGAACGGCCACAUUGGGACUGAGACACGGCCCAGACUCCUACGGGAGGCAGCAGUGGGGAAUAUUGCACAAUGGGGGAAACCCUGAUGCAGCGACGACGCGUGGAGGAAGAAGGUCUUCGGAUUGUAAACUCCUGUUGUUGAGGAAGAUAAUGACGGUACUCAACAAGGAAGUGACGGCUAACUACGUG